AGUGAGCGCUGGCGGUAGGCCUAACACAUGCAAGUCGAACGGCAGCACAGUAAGAGCUUGUUCUUACGGGUGGCGAGUGGCGGACGGGUGAGGAAUACAUCGGAAUCUACUUUUUCGAGGGGGAUAAAGUAGGGAAAAUUACGCUAAUACCGCAUACGACCUAAGGGUGAAAGCAGGGGAUCCUCGGCCCUUGCGCGAUUGAAUGAGCCGAUGUCGGAUUAGCUAGUUGGCGGGGUAAAGGCCCACCAAGGCGACGAUCCGUAGCUGGUCUGAGAGGAUGAUCAGCCACACUGGAACUGAGGCACGGUCCAGACUCCUACGGGAGGCAGCAGUGGGGAAUAUUGGACAAUGGGCGCAAGCCUGAUCCAGCCAUACCGCGUGGGUGAAGAAGGCCUUCGGGUUGUAAAGCCCUUUUGUUGGGAAAGAAAAGCAGCAGGUUAAUACCCCGCUGUUCUGACGGUACCCAAAGAAUAAGCACCGGCUAACUUCGUG
rnacentral:rRNA from 1 species